GGCCUCGUGGCCUAAUGGUUAGGGCGCCAGAUUUCGGUGACUAUGUUACUAUCCUCUGGAGAUUGUCGGUUCGAAUCCGGCCGAGGUCG